ensembl:lncRNA
GCUCCGCAGCCCGGGCCGCCCCGCACGGCACCGCCGACGGAACAGCACCGGGACGGAACCGCGGCACGACGGGAGCGGUGCUGAGCUCUGCGGUACCGGGGGGAGGGAGGGACGGAGGGAGAAGGGUGGGUGGAGAGCAGCGCCAGGAGGGGAGGGGAGGAGAGGAGAGGAGAGCCCUGUGCGGCCAUAACCCACCUCCCUGUGGGGUUGGGAAAUGGGUGUGGGAUUGGGGUUCGGAUGUGGGAUAUGGAAUUAGGGCUGUGGGAUCGGGAUUGGGAUUAUGGUGUGGGAUUGGAAGGUGGGGUUGGGGUUGGGAUAAGGUCUGGGAUAUGGGAUUAGGGAUAUCGAUUGAGAUUGGAAUGUGGGAUUGGGAUGUGGGGUAUAGGAUUCGGGGUGUGGGAUUGGGAUUUGCAUUGGGAUGGGGGCUGUGAGGUUGGGGUUGAGGUUGGGGUCGGGAUAUAGGAUUAGUGAAUUGGUAUUGGCAUUCCCAUUGGGAUGGGGGCUGUGGGGCCGGGAUGAGGGCUGUUGCCGUGGAAUGUUGGGUUGGGAUCGAGGUUAGGAUGUGGGAGAUAGGAUGAGGGGUGUGGGAUUGGGAUUUGCAUUGGGAUGUGGAAUGUGGGGCCGGGAUGUGGUCUGUUGGGGUGGGAUGUGGGCUGUGGGGCCGGGAUGGGGGUUGGGAUUGAGGUCGGGAUGUGGGAUGUGACGAAACGUGCCCUGUUCACAGGUGGGGCGUGUGGUGUUGUGGGGAAGCGGCGCAGAUGGAAAGCUGCCAUGUGGAGCCCCACAGGACGAGUUGCAGAGGCCCCUGAAGGAAAAGGAGAAGGAAGGGCAUUUGCAGAGGGAAAGGCUGUCCCGCUGGCCUUAGGUGUUGCUGAACGGGAGGGGUGGCCAAUGCUUUCUCUUUCCACUGCCUCACGGAUGGUGGAAAUGCCUUCUGGGGGUGGUUCCAGCAGUGGGAAGAAAACAGCUGGCAGCGGAGGGGUAAACCUCUUUGGGCUGCUGAGCUGUGUGCUGAACCAUAAGGAAGGUGGCUGUAAAGGUGUGCCGUGCAGAUGUCGUGUGCCCAGCAGUCGGGCCGAUGAAGAGCAACAAAUGAAGCGCCAGGUGGGUCGAGCUGCCAGAAUUGAGGCUUUCUUUAUUUGCCCUUGCUUUGCUUUGCUCUGCUCUUCUGUUCUUCCUUUUCACCUCUGCUUCGCAUUGCUUUGCGUUGCUUUCUGGUUUGCUUUGCUUUGCUUUAUUUCCUACUCUGCUUCUUCUCUCUUCUUCCCGUUGCUUUCGUGUUUCCUCUUUUUCAGUUGGUUUUUUAUUUGGAUGUACUUUGUUGAUCUUUUCCUUCAAUUUCUCUUUCUGACUGUUUAACUCAGUGCUGUUCUCUGUGUGUUCCUGCUGUGCUUUUGGCCGCCUUUCGCUUUCCCUUUCUUCCUUGGGCCGCCUUUCGCUUAUUGUUGUUCGUUCUAAAAGUCUCUCUGUAUUUUCUCCUCUUUUCCAGUGGUUUUUCUGUGCUCUGCUUUCAGUUUCCUAUUUGUUUUGUAAUUGCAUUCUUCUUUGCCUUCUUUUCCUUGCUGGUAUCCUUGUCCCCUUGCCUGUCUCCUUCCUCUAGCCUUGCCCUUACUUGCUUUGCUUUGCUCUGCCUUCUAAUUCUAAUUCAGAUUUCUGUACUGCUCGUUUUGCUUUGCUUUCCAUUGUUUAUUUCCUUAAUGUGGUUUUCUUCUUUCCAGUUCAUUUCUUUGCAUUCCUUUUUUUCCUUCCCCUUUCUCUUCUUAUCGAAUGACUUAUUGUUAGUUUCCUUUCCUUUUCAGUCCCUUUUCUUUCUUCUUCUUGUUUUUUCUGUUGCUUUGCUUUGCUCUUUGGUUUUCCUUUCAUACCUUUGCAUUGCUUUGCAUGGCUUCAUGGCUUUCUCGCUUUGCUUUGGUUUCCUUUCUUCUUUGCUUGUUUGCUUUUCUUUUCGUGGCUUUGCUUGUAUCCUUAUGGUCAUUAUUUUUUUUCUUUGAACAAUUUUGGAUGGUGUUUUUUUCUUGUUGAAUUUCUUUGAGUCCUUUGCUUUGCCAUGAUACCGCAUUCUGUUUUUUCUUUUCCUUGGUAUUUCAUUGCUUUGCUAUGCCUUCUAUUUUGCUUCUUUUCUUUUCCCCUUUCCAUUUUGUUUUUCUUUACUGCUCCUUUCUAUUUUCCUUCCACUGUUUUUUUUUCCUUUUGUUGUUUCUUUUCCAUUCCUGCCCUAUUCAAGCUAGUUCUCUUUGCAUUCCUUUGUGAUUCUCUUUUUCAUCCUUUAAAUUUUUCCCUUCCUUGCCCCCUUCCUUGCCCCCUUCCUUGCCCCCUUCCUUGCC